UGCAAGUCGAGCGGAACGAUCCCAGCUUGCUGGGAGGCGUCGAGCGGCGGACGGGUGAGUAAUGCAUAGGAAUCUGCCCGAUAGUGGGGGAUAACCUGAGGAAACUCAGGCUAAUACCGCAUACGUCCUACGGGAGAAAGCAGGGGCUCUUCGGACCUUGCGCUAUCGGAUGAGCUUAUGUCGGAUUAGCUGGUUGGUGAGGUAACGGCUCACCAAGGCGACGAUCCGUAGCUGGUCUGAGAGGAUGAUCAGCCACAUCGGGACUGAGACACGGCCCGAACUCCUACGGGAGGCAGCAGUGGGGAAUUUUGGACAAUGGGGGCAACCCUGAUCCAGCCAUGCCGGGUGUGUGAAGAAGGCCCUCGGGUUGUAAAGCACUUUCAGUGAGGAAGAAUGCUUGUCGGUUAAUACCCGGCAAGGGAGACAUCACUCACAGAAGAAGCACCGGCUAACUCCGUGCCAGCAGCGCGCGGUUAUACGAGAGGGUGCGAGCGUUAAUCAGAAUUACUGGGCGUAAAGCGCGCGUACGCGGCUUGAUAAGCCGGUUGUGAAAGCCCCGCGCUCAACCUGGGAACGGCCUCCGGAACUGUCAUGCUAGAGUGCAGGAGAGGAAGGUAUAAUUCCCGGUGUAGCGGAGAAAUGCGUAAAGAUCGGGAGGAAUACCAGUGGCGAAGGCGGCCUUCUGGACUGACACUGACGCUGACGUGCGAAAGCGUGGGUAACAAACAGAGAUUACAUACCCUGGUAGUCCACGCCGUAAACGAUGUCGACUAUCCGUUGCGUGUCCUCCACACCUUGUGUGGCGCACUUAACGCACUAACUCGCACCGCCUGGAGAGUACGGACGUCUAAGACUAAAACUCAUAUGAAUUUG
rnacentral:rRNA from 1 species